CACAGAAACAUCAGACAGAAGGCUCUUCUGCUCUCUCCGUCUUGUCUCUCCGCCUAAGGUUGAUACAGAACACUAUGGAUUCGUUAGAACCCGACAAGGAGACUUGCGGGGGACUCUAUGUUCCAGUGAAGGAUAAAUUGACUUCAAAUCUCGCCUAGGAUCGGAUAUGUUGGCAAUCGAGAAAAGGGAGAAUGCUAAGACUGAGGAGGUGUUUAAAGUGCCUAGGGAGAGGGUAAUAUCCGUUCCAGCCUCUUUAGACGAAGAUGAGAAAUUUGAACUAACUCAAUCAAACGAUAGAGCAAAAGCCACUUUACGUGACCAUUCCAUCAGACGUUACCGAGAGAGGCUUCAAACUUUGGAAUUGCAGGAAUCUUGCAGGUAGGUCAGAUUGGGAUGAUAGUAAAUGGGAAUGGGAAGAUAGUCCAUAUAGUGAGAGUGACUCUAGUUACAAGAGAGUGACGAAGCAAGGGAGAAGUUUUUUGUGUCAGAAUCUGAUCAUCUUACGCUUCUGAAUGUCUACAAGCAGUGGAAAGAGCAUGAUUAUCGGGGAGACUGGUACAAUGACCAUUGCUUGCAGGUCAAAGGGCUGAAAAAGGCGACAGAAGUGAGAUCCUAGCUUUUGGAUAUUUUCAAGCAACAGAAAAUCUCACUCAAGUCAUGUGGCGAUGAGGAUAUUAUCAGAAAAGCCAUAUGCUCUGCCUAUUUUCAGAAUGCUGCGAAAGCCGAAGGUGUGGGCGAGUUUGUGAACUGCAGAACUGGAAUGCCCUGCCGUUUGCAUCCAAGCAAUGCCUUGUAUAAUUCAGGUGUCCUUCCUGAGUACGUGGUCUAUCAGGGGUUGCUUUUAAGUAACCAGAAAGGAGUACAUGCAGUAGAGCCACAAUGGCUUGCUGAGAUGGGGCCUAUGUUCUUCUCGAUAAAGUAUUCUUACAUGUAUUUGUUGGAGCAUAGAAAGAAGCAAAAGGAAAAGAAAACAGCCAUGGAUGAAGAAAUGGAUAGUUUGAGAAGGGAACAGGCCAAGUUGGAGCGUAAAAGCAAAGAGGAGAAGGAAAGAAGAGCAAAGCAGCAACAACAUAUCUCAGGUUCGGGGUUGAAGAAAGGCGGUACCUACAUCAGGCCUGAGAAGUUAGGAUUGUGAACAGUCUCUUCUCUUGCUACUUUGUCGAUUCCUUGUUCAUUUACUUGAAUGGUUAAAAGAGUUGCAAUUCUACAGUAUGUAACAGGAUCUUCAAUCAACUAAUAACAUCCUUAUAUUAUACAAAACUGAAAUCUCAUUAUGUAACACUAUUGUCUGACAGCUAUGCUUCUAGGACGUCUUGAAGUUGAAGUACCUGCAAUAAAAUGUCCGACGGUCAGUUCAGGAUACAGCGCAAAAUCGCAGUCCAAAAGAAGCCGAGAACAAGAAUCUGUCUACCUGACUGAAGUAGCUCUCUCUCCAAGAUUUCUUGACCAUCAAAGUGCCACAAACCGCCCAGAAUCCUGCAGCUCCUCCAAC